rnacentral:rRNA from 1 species
ACGCUCGACACCUACGGGACGCAGCAGUGAGGAAUAUUGGUCAAUGGGCGCAGGCCUGAACCAGCCAAGUAGCGUGAAGGAUGACUGCCCUAUGGGUUGUAAACUUCUUUUAUAUGGGAAUAAAGUUUUCCACGUGUGGAAUUUUGUAUGUACCAUAUGAAUAAGGAUCGGCUAACUCCGUGCCAGCAGCCGCGGUAAUCUGAGGCGGGCUGGCAAGGC